GACGAACGCUGGCGGCGUGCCUAAUACAUGCAAGUAGAACGCUGAAGGAGGAGCUUGCUUCUCUGGAUGAGUUGCGAACGGGUGAGUAACGCGUAGGUAACCUGCCUGGUAGCGGGGGAUAACUAUUGGAAACGAUAGCUAAUACCGCAUAAUAGUAGAUGUUGCAUGACAUUUGCUUAAAAGGUGCAAUUGCAUCACUACCAGAUGGACCUGCGUUGUAUUAGCUAGGUGGUGGGGUAACGGCUCACCAAGGCGACGAUACAUAGCCGACCGGAGAGGGGGCUCGCCCACCCUGGGACUGAGCCCCGCCCCAGACUCCUACGGGAGGCCGCCGUAGGGAAUCUUCGGCAAUGGACGGAAGUCUUCCCGGGCAACGCCGCGUGAGUGAAGAAGGUUUUCGGAUCGUAAAGCUCUGUUUUAAGAGAAGACCGGGUUUGAGGGGGGAAAGUUCCCCCUGUGCCGGUAUUUUACCAGAAAGGGACGGCUAACUCCGU
rnacentral:rRNA from 1 species